rnacentral:rRNA from 1 species
UACGUAGGGUGCGAGCGUUGUCCGGAAUUAUUGGGCGUAAAGAGCUUGUAGGCGGUUUGUCGCGUCUGCUGUGAAAAUCCGGGGCUCAACCCCGGACUUGCAGUGGGUACGGGCAGACUAGAGUGUGGUAGGGGAGAUCGGAAUUCCUGGUGUAGCGGUGAAAUGCGGCAGAAUAUCAGGAGGAACACCGGUGGCGAAGGCGGAUCUCUGGGCCAGUUACUGACGCUGAGGAGCGAAAGCGUGGGGAGCGA